rnacentral:rRNA from 1 species
GCUUACACAUGCAAGUCGAACGAUGAACCGCUUUCGGGCGGGGAUUAGUGGCGAACGGGUGAGUAACACGUGGGCAAUCUGCCCUGCACUCUGGGACAAGCCCUGGAAACGGGGUCUAAUACCGGAUAUGACUGUCCAUCGCAUGGUGGAUGGUGUAAAGCUCCGGCGGUGCAGGAUGAGCCCGCGGCCUAUCAGCUUGUUGGUGAGGUAGUGGCUCACCAAGGCGACGACGGGUAGCCGGCCUGAGAGGGCGACCGGCCACACUGGGACUGAGACACGGCCCAGACUCCUACGGGAGGCAGCAGUGGGGAAUAUUGCACAAUGGGCGAAAGCCUGAUGCAGCGACGCCGCGUGAGGGAUGACGGCCUUCGGGUUGUAAACCUCUUUCAGCAGGGAAGAAGCGAAAGUGACGGUACCUGCAGAAGAAGCGCCGGCUAACUACGUGCCAGCAGCCGCGGUAAUACGUAGGGCGCAAGCGUUGUCCGGAAUUAUUGGGCGUAAAGAGCUCGUAGGCGGCUUGUCACGUCGGUUGUGAAAGCCCGGGGCUUAACCCCGGGUCUGCAGUCGAUACGGGCAGGCUAGAGUUCGGUAGGGGAGAUCGGAAUUCCUGGUGUAGCGGUGAAAUGCGCAGAUAUCAGGAGGAACACCGGUGGCGAAGGCGGAUCUCUGGGCCGAUACUGACGCUGAGGAGCGAAAGCGUGGGGAGCGAACAGGAUUAGAUACCCUGGUAGUCCACGCCGUAAACGGUGGGCACUAGGUGUGGGCAACAUUCCACGUUGUCCGUGCCGCAGCUAACGCAUUAAGUG